GCGGCAACAGCUCAAAUUUGAAAUCUGGCUCUCGGGCCCGAGUUGUAAUUUGUAGAGGAUGCUUUUGGUGAGGUGCCUUCCGAGUUCCCUGGAACGGGACGCCAUAGAGGGUGAGAGCCCCGUCUGGUUGGACACCGAUCCUCUGUAAAGCUCCUUCGACGAGUCGAGUAGUUUGGGAAUGCUGCUCUAAAUGGGAGGUAUAUGUCUUCUAAAGCUAAAUACCGGCCAGAGACCGAUAGCGCACAAGUAGAGUGAUCGAAAGAUGAAAAGAACUUUGAAAAGAGAGUUAAACAGUACGUGAAAUUGUUGAAAGGGAAGCGCUUGUGACCAGACUUGGGCUUGGUUGAUCAUCCGGGGUUCUCCCCGGUGCACUCUUCCGGCCCAGGCCAGCAUCAGUUCGCCCUGGGGGACAAAGGCUUCGGGAAUGUGGCUCUCUCCGGGGAGUGUUAUAGCCCGUUGCGUAAUACCCUGUGGCGGACUGAGGUUCGCGCAUUCGCAAGGAU
rnacentral:rRNA from 1 species